UACGAAGGGAGCUAGCGUUGUUCGGAAUCACUGGGCGUAAAGCGCACGUAGGCGGAUUUGUCAGUCAGGGGUGAAAGCCCGGAGCUCAACUCCGGAACUGCCUUUAAAACUGCAUCGCUUGAAUCCAGGAGAGGUGAGUGGAAUUCCGAGUGUAGAGGUGAAAUUCGUAGAUAUUCGGAAAGAACACCAGUGGCGAAGGCGGCUCACUGGACUGGUAUUGACGCUGAGGUGCGAAAGCGUGGGGAGCAAACAGG
rnacentral:rRNA from 1 species